UUAUAUCAUCAACAUGUUGUUUCAUUCCUGCAGUGGAAAACAGCUAUUUUAUGGCAUUUGAAGCUGUUUACAGUGUUUUUUUUCUUUAGAGAGGCCAAAUGCUGGACACUGCAGAUAAAUUAUGAAGCUUCUGACCACGUUUGACUCUGGGGAGAAGUUUUUUUUUUUAUCUGAAAAACAACCCGGUGUGCAGUUGGAAGCAGCCCUGAAGUAAAAAAAGAAAACAGCAGCCUCACAGAAAGCUGUGCAGCAGCAGAGCCGAGCAGAUUACAGAGGAAAAAAUAAAAACCUGUUAAUAAGAUGAGAAUGUGUUUAUUUGUCACGGUGAGCGGCGCCGCGCUCCCACAGGGUCCGACGGGCUGAAACCAAUAUGUGUUAUAGAAACACACGAGGCCGCGUGUCAUUUCUGCGGCUGAAUUCAUGAAUACUCCAUACAAAUGGAUUUUAAUCUCACUCUCCUGCUUCUGCUCAGACUUUAGACCAGAAGAGGCUCCACAGAUCUGGAGUCUCUUCAGGAUAUUCAGGACGGUUCGUGUCUCUGCUGGUGUGUCGCUGCUCGUCUGCCCUCACAUUCAUGCUUUCAUUCAUGGUUUUGCUCCGUGCUCAGUCUAGACUGGACGGUUCACGUCUCCGACAGCUUUAAUAUGUUCAGAAACGUGAAGCGUCCAGUCUUUUUCCAGACUCAGAGUCCAGUCAGAUCACAUAAAUUUGCGUUGUUGACCAUCAAAUUGUUCUGAGCUGACCUCUGAAGGUACGCAGAGCCGGAGAAUCCAGAAAUACGGAGGCCCUGAGACGCAAAUCACAUCAAAAAAACAUCAGAAAACACAACAAACGUGUGUGGAAGUCAGUGGUGUCUGACUUGUAAACGUCGUCUCUCUCUCUCCCUCUGACUCUAAUAUGAUCCUCCUCGGCCAUCAGGCUUAUUGCUUUCAGAGAGAAAUAAAUUCCUGCGGAGGUAAAUUACCUGCUGUAAGACUUCACCUCUCUGAUUGUUGCAGCUCUAAUCGGCCGCAUUUACCCAGAGUUCCCCUGGUUAUUUGUGAGGACGGAGGCUGGUUUUAUUAACACUCCAUUAACCCUCCAACAGCUUCUGUGAUGUUUGUGUGUGUGUGUGUGUGUGUGUGUGUGUGUGUGUGCAGUCGUACAGCUUUUUAAUGGAAGACAUCUGCUCACAGAGGAUCGUAAAGAGAGCAUGAUGGCGAACCCGAGGCGGCAGAGACGCUCAGGUACGGAAGAUGGACGCCGGCGGCAACAACGCCGACACGUGUGAACACGAGUACACGACAAAAUGUACACGAUGGAAGAUUUCACAGCAUCUUUACCACAGACAGUGAUGGAGAGUAACUGUACUACUGUACUUGAGUAUUUCCAUGUGAUGCUACUUUAUACUUCCACUCCACUACAUUUCAGUGUCUGUGUGACUGUAAACUGUUUCUAUGAAGUCAGGUUGUUUUCUCUCUCUCCCUCCGUCUCCUGCAUCCGUCUCCUCUUCUUCUCUCUGACAGUCUGUUUUCAGCUGUUCGGCCGCAGGGAAGUGUUGUUGGAGAAUAUUGUGUGCGUUCAGAGAGAUAAGACCGAGAGGAACGAGUGGGACACAGGAAACAAUCACAGCAGACGACCUCCUCAAUCACUCUGUUUCUGCUGCUCAUUCAUCUGACCAGCAGUAAAAAUGCUGCAGGAGGCUGGAGGACGACUGUGUGUCUCAGUGAGGAGGUUAAAAAACGUUUGCACACAGAGAAAAACUCUUCUGAGUCGUUGUUCAGUACGGUGUGAAGACACGGCGAGCGACUCCGUGACAGGAAGUGAUGAUGAAACAGGAAACUGUGAUGAGAGUCGGAUUGUUCUGUCUGCAGAUGAUGGAUGUGAAGUCAGACGGAGGUCAGACGGAGGACGAUGUAACAGUCUGUCAGUGGCCAGCCAAUCAGAGAGCACGUUAACCUGCUUCCUGUAAACACACCUGUACCCGCUGAUUAGAGACCAGGUUGUUUACAUGACAUCAGCUGACUGAAGGGGACAAUACUGAUUAUCACCAUCUGUCAGCCGCAACAAAGGAUUGUGGGAACGCAGGAGGAGACGUGGGACGUGGAAACACACACACACACACACACACACACACAAACAGCAGUGUGUGUGUGUGUGUUGAUGAACAGAACAUAAAUAGGUUUAUUGACGACACACAGAGCAGCUUUUAGUGCUUUUCAGAGCCUCCCCUCCUCCUCCUCCUCUUCCUCCUCUUCCUCCCGCUUCUUCUUCUUCUUCUCCUCUAUAUUUAGCGUAGGAAUGAGAAGGUGUCGGCUGAAUCUGCUGCCGCUCAACGUUAAUUAAGAUCCCGGAGUCGCCUUCACACCUCUGACGGCAGCCUUUGUGUGAGGAGAAGCUUGUGGGACGAGCAGCUUCACUGUGUUUCUUUUGUUUCUUUUCUCAGACUUCAUGACUCAUUAUCGUCUCUGCUGCUGUUUGUUCAGAAACACGUUUCUGCUCCUUCACGAUGUUCCACAGAGACGACGAUGAAAGAAUCAGAGAAGAUGUUCAUGUCAAAGACGGGUUUUAUUAUUUAAAAGGCUCAUUCUGUCCAUUUUUUAUGAUAUAAAAGCUAAAAAAAUUACAUUUUUGUGUUUCUGCUCUAAACACAGACGAACAUUAAACCUCAAAGUGUAAAAGUGAAGGAAAAACAUUCAAAUGUAACUCAAGUUUAUAAUGAAUGUUUGUUUCUGUUUGGUGCCAUUAAACCG